UGGCUCAGUUGAUAGAGCAUGGCACUUGUAAUACCAGGGUUGUGGGUUUGAUUCCCAC
rnacentral:tRNA from 1 species